rnacentral:rRNA from 1 species
UACGUAGGGGGCAAGCGUGGUCCGGAAUCAUUGGGCGUAAAGAGCGUGUAGGCGGCCAGAUAAGUCCGCUGUGAAAUCUCGAGGCUCAACUUCGAGCUGUCGGUGGAAACUGUCUGGCUAGAGUCCGGAAGAGGAGAAUGGAAUUCCCGGUGUAGCGGUGAAAUGCGCAGAUAUCGGGAGGAACACCAAUUGCGAAGGCAGCUCGCUGGGACGUUACUGACGCUGAGACGCGAAAGCUAGGGGAGCAAACAGG